rnacentral:rRNA from 1 species
UACAGAGGUCUCAAGCGUUGUUCGGAUUCAUUGGGCGUAAAGGGUGCGUAGGCGGCGCGGUAAGUCGGGUGUGAAAUUUCGAGGCUUAACUUCGAAACUGCAUUCGAUACUGCCGUGCUUGAGGACUGGAGAGGAGACUGGAAUUUACGGUGUAGCGGUGAAAUGCGUAGAUAUCGUAAGGAAGACCAGUGGCGAAGGCGGGAUCUCUGGACAGUUCCUGACGCUGAGGCACGAAGGCCAGGGGAGCAAACGGG